GCGUAGUGGUCAAAACACCAGGCUGGUAACCUGGGGGUCGCUGGUUCAAGCCCA
rnacentral:tRNA from 11 species